UACGUAGGGUGCAAGCGUUGUCCGGAAUUAUUGGGCGUAAAGAGCUCGUAGGCGGUUUGUUGCGUCGGCUGUGAAAUCCCGAGGCUCAACCUCGGGUCUGCAGUCGAUACGAGCAAACUAGAGUGUUGCAGGGGAGACUGGAAUUCCCGGUGUAGCGGUGAAAUGCGUAGAGAUCGGGAAGAACAUCGGUGGCGAAAGCGCUCUACUGGGCCAUAACUGACACUCAGGGACGAAAGCUAGGGGAGCGAAUGGG
rnacentral:rRNA from 1 species